rnacentral:rRNA from 1 species
AGCGUAGACGGUUAUUUAAGUCUGAAGUGAAAGCCCUCAGCUCAACUGAGGAAUGGCUUUGGAAACUGGAUGACUUGAGUGCAGUAGAGGAAAGUGGAACUCCAUGUGUAGCGGUGAAAUGCGUAGAUAUAUGGAAGAACACCAGUGGCGAAGGCGGCUUUCUGGACUGUAACUGACGUUGAGGCUCGAAAGUGUGGGUAGCAAACA